UUCUCACAGUUCAGCUUUUAUUAAAAUUAAAGGAACAUAAAUUACAGGAAACUAGAACACGAGUCCUGUUAAAAGAAUACAUGUGAGGAACUGUUUUCCUCAGCUAGCACUGUAACCGAUGGAGCAGGUGACAAGUGUUCUUUCAUAAGCUCUGUGGUUCCUACCAUCCAAGCAGAGAACACCCGAUCAAGGGCCUGACUCAUGCAGUGUGGUGUACAGGGCGUCAGGGAUCAAGUCUGCCUGCCAAUGGACAGCCACAUGGACACAGCACCCACACAGACAUACAGAUUCAGUGCCUUGAAUUUGCUUUCAAAGAAAGUGUUUUACACAUUAUGUACGAAUUAAACAAGAAGUCCAACAAAGGUUCUUAUUGCCACUGAAAAGGGGAUAAAAUAACUUGAAAUCUCAUAACCAAAGGUGAGAACGUAGCACCGGGGCACUUUGUUGCUCCAAAUGCUCCAGUCCCAUGAAUUACUGCUUGGCCAAUGCUGAAUCUGUAAGUCAUGAGCCCCAUGACAAGGGGUGCACAGGGGCUCUGAGGUUGUGAUUAUCCACUAUGGAAGAGACCUCUGACACUCCCAAAUGUCAGAGGUGCCGCGAGCUCUCCUGCUUGGGCAAUAGAUACACAGCAUGGCUGAAUAUGAGGGGCUUAGGACUCUAAAUAGUGCAAAAACUUAAAACAAAAAAAAAUACAUUCUAACCUCCUCGCCUCUCUCGGCAA
rnacentral:lncRNA from 1 species